GAAAUGCGAUAAGUAAUGUGAAUUCCAGAAUUCAGUGAAUCAUCGAAUCUUUGAACGCACCUUGCGCUCCUUGGUAUUCCUUGGAGCAUGCCUGUUUGAGUAUCAUGAAAUCUUCAAAGUAAAUCUUUUGUUAACUCAAUUGGUUUCUACUUUGGUAUUGGAGGUCUUUGCAGCUUCACACCUGCUCCUCUUUGUUCAUUAGCUGGAUCUCAGUGUUAUGCUUGGUUCCACUCGGCGUGAUAAGUUAUCUAUCGCUGAGGACACUGUAAAAGGUGGCCAAGGUAAAUGCAGAUGAACCGCUUCUAAUAGUCCAUUGACUUGGACAAUACUUUUAUGAUCUGAUCUCAAAUCAGGUAGGACUACCCGCUGAACUUAAGC
rnacentral:misc_RNA from 1 species